rnacentral:rRNA from 1 species
UACGUAGGGAGCAAGCGUUGUCCGGAAUCAUUGGGCGUAAAGCGCGCGUAGGCGGCCCUGUAAGUCCGCUGUGAAAGUCAAAGGCUCAACCUUUGAAAGCCGGUGGAUACUGCAGGGCUAGAGUCCGGAAGAGGAGAAUGGAAUUCCCGGUGUAGCGGUGAAAUGCGCAGAUAUCGGGAAGAACACCCGUGGCGAAGGCGGUUCUCUGGGACGGUACUGACGCUGAGACGCGAAAGCGUGGGGAGCGAACAGG